CCUACGGGGGGCUGCAGUGGGGAAUAUUGCACAAUGGGGGAAACCCUGAUGCAGCGACGCCGCGUGAGUGAAGAAGUAUUUCGGUAUGUAAAGCUCUAUCAGCAGGGAAGAAAAUGACGGUACCUGACUAAGAAGCACCGGCUAAAUACGUGCCAGCAGCCGCGGUAAUACGUAUGGUGCAAGCGUUAUCCGGAUUUACUGGGUGUAAAGGGAGCGUAGACGGAUAGGCAAGUCUGGAGUGAAAACCCGGGGCUCAACCCCGGGACUGCUUUGGAAACUGUUUAUCUAGAGUGCUGGAGAGGUAAGUGGAAUUCCUAGUGUAGCGGUGAAAUGCGUAGAUAUUAGGAGGAACACCAGUGGCGAAGGCGGCUUACUGGACAGUAACUGACGUUGAGGCUCGAAAGCGUGGGGAGCAAACAGGAUUAGAUACCCCGGUAGUC
rnacentral:rRNA from 1 species